rnacentral:rRNA from 1 species
UAGGGAAUAUUGCGCAAUGGAGGAAACUCUGACGCAGCGACGCCGCGUGAGUGACGAAGGCCUUCGGGUUGUAAAGCUCUUUUGCAAGGGAAUAAGAAAGUGAAUGUACUUUGCGAAUAAGGAUCGGCUAACUUCGUGCCAGCAGCCGCGGUAAGACGAGGGAUCCUAGCGUUGUUCGGAAUUAUUGGGCGUAAAGCGGGUGCAGGUGGCUCGUUAAGUCAGGUGUGAAAUCCCAGGGCUCAACCCUGGACGUGCAUUUGAUACUGACGAGCUUGAGUGUGGGAGAGGCUACUAGAAUUCUUGGUGUAGUGGUGAAAUACGUAGAUAUCAAGAGGAAUACCGGUGGCGAAGGCGGGUAGCUGGCCCAACACUGACACUCAGACCCGAAAGCGUGGGGAUC